AGCGCAGGCGGGAGAACAAGUUGGAAGUGAAAUCCAUGGGCUCAACCCAUGAACUGCUUUCAAAACUGUUUUUCUUUGAGUAGUGCAGAGGUAGGCGGAAUUCCCGGUGUAGCGGUGGAAUGCGUAGAUAUCGGGAGGAACACCAGUGGCGAAGGCGGCCUACUGGGCACCAACUGACGCUGAGGCUCGAAAGUGUGGGUAGCAAACA
rnacentral:rRNA from 1 species